UACGUAGGGGGCAAGCAUUGUCCGGAAUUACUGGGCGUAAAGGGCGUGUAGGCGGGGCGGCAAGUCAGAUGUGAAAUCCCAUGGCUUAACUGUGGAGCUGCAUCUGAAACUGUCGUUCUUGAGUGUCGGAGAGGAAAGUGGAAUUCCCAGUGUAGCGGUGAAAUGCGUAGAGAUUGGGAGGAACACCAGUGGCGAAGGCGGCUUUCUGGACGAUAACUGACGCUGAGGCGCGAAAGCGUGGGGAGCAAACAGG
rnacentral:rRNA from 1 species